CAAGGUAGAUGGAGCCGGUUGAUUGCUCACAGCUGGAGCGGAUAUUCUGUUCUUACUGAGGCCUGAGUUGUACGAGUAGUGGUAUGUGUCUACAUGCAGUCAAAAACAUCAUAAGCAUCAACUUGAUCUAUCAAUUUAGACUCCUGUGUGAUGCUGGAACAAAGAUGCUGACACACAACAGUCUCUUAAAUUAAAUCCCUUUUCCUGGAGAUCUCAGCCAAUCAGAGGGAAGCUGUGGAUAAUCCUGCUUCAAGCUGCACAAACACUCUCCCAUUCCAGAAAAUGCACAAAUGCCCUUCUGUGUAUAAGAUUUGAAUGUAAAUGCACUUCAUUUGCAUGAGAAAAGCGGCUGUGAUGGUGAAGAACUCGUUCAGCGUGGAGUAGAAACACAGAUUAUCACCCCUCGCCCACGGUAAGAAGCAAAACACAGU